UACAGAGGGUGCGAGCGUUUAAUCGGAAUUACUGGGCGUAAAGCGCGCGUAGGCGGGUUGGUAAGUCCGCUGUGAAAGCCCGGAGCUCAACUCCGGAGGGUCGGUGGAUACUGCCAGUCUUGAAGGUGCUAGGGGGAGAUGGAAUUACCGGUGUAGCGGUGAAAUGCGUAGAUAUCGGUAGGAACACCAGUGGCGAAGGCGGUCUCCUGGGGCAUUCUUGACGCUGAGGCGCGAAAGCUGGGGGAGCAAACGGG
rnacentral:rRNA from 1 species